UGAGGGUCCCAGGGAACAGAAAGCCCAGGGGGGCCAGCAGCCCCCACCCAGGCUGUUGCCUAGGCUGGUCUUGAACUCCGGGCCCUGGCUGAGACUAGGAUGACCCAGUGGAGGGCUGACAGUGGGGUGAGAACACUGGUGAGGAGCAGCCUGCUGGGAGGGAGGUGGAGAUGGAUUUCAAGGGCACCAUGGGGGAAGGAAUAGCACCAGGAGGAGAUAGCUGAAAAGUAUCUCUGGGCCUAAGGAGUCUGACCACAUCCGCCUCCUCCCCAGCACCCAGGAAUGCCAGGCACCCUGGCUUCUCCCCUGGUGGCAGGCAGCUCCCAAGGUGCCUAAGGGUCUGGUGGCCCAUGAACCCUUGGAGAGAGGUCACUCACUGGUGCCCUCCCCGGCAUGUCGUAAAGGCAGGCAGGGUGGCAAGGAGAGGCGUUACAGAGGCUUUGGCAUCUUGCUAACCACUGACGAGUCCUGUUG
rnacentral:lncRNA from 1 species